ACAUAGUAGGUGCUCCAUAAGUAUUUGUGACGCUACCUAUUAAAAGAAGACGAAGGCACUGUGGUUUUAUUAAUGACAUUGAGAGGUUUUGUCUUUCACUACAUGCAAAAUACACACCUAGAAAAAUGGCAGUAAGACGUGUGUAUUGUUUGGUUGCUGUUACAGGUUCCUGAACCCCUCGGAAUCACCCCAAGGACCAGCAUUUGAGAACUACCAAGAUAAGGGUGCGGAGCACUGGGUUGACGUGCUGCAGACGGGAUUCUCCCUAAGCCACCUGGCGGUUCCUGAGCCUGGGUUUCCUGGUGUGGCAGAUGGGAGCAAUAACUCGUCUUCCUACCCAAGAGGGUGGAGGAGAGAACAGUGCUGACUUGUGCAGACAGACCCCAGAAGCUCGGAAGGCCCCAGCACACCUGCAGACCCCCCCUACCAUCAUGACCAACAGGCUCCCAGAGAAGCAGAGGCGAGCCCCGUUGCUGAGGCCUCUGGCCUCCCACUUUGAGCUAGGAGGACGACUCCCAGUCUGUUGGCCAUCCCAGGGCGAGGCAGUUGGGUAUGCAUUUGCCCUGGGUGCAGCUCCCCAGGAGCCACAGAAGUUGUGUGUUGGCUCCACCCGGGAAGGUUCCCCCGCUCACGGAAUGCACAUCUUUUGCCUUUAACCUUGACGAUUGCAACUGAUACUCAAAAAUCUAUUCUAGGUCAGGUUCCUCUGCUGUUUCCUGUUGUCUCAAGAGAGCAGGAAAUUUUAAAAUGUGUCAAAACAUUUUAUCUCUGACCUUUCUGUUCAUAGGAAGGAAGAAAGGAGGGAAAAGGGAAGGGGCUGUGGGAGAAGUGCCCUGCACACAGAGGAUCAGGAUGACUGAUCAGCCGCCCUCUGUGUUCACCAGGGAGUCGCGCUGUGUCUCAGCAUGGCCACCAACUACUGCACACAGGUGUACCCAGCGUCGAGACACCCUGCUCCGGUGUCUCCUGGCUCGUGAUCGACACCUGAACAUCGCCAACCGUGCACUCAAAUCACGUUGCAUUUUUAAAACCUGGGCUCUGUGAACCGUUCCACACUGACGGGCAACUGUAAAGUCAGAACGGCUUGGGAGAGUCAUUCAUGUGGCAGAACAGGACUUUAUCGUGUGAAGAGAAUGUCGUCUCCGAGUCCACUUCCUGGCAGGUGGGUGGGUAGGUGGUCUCCUGUCCAAAGCUGCUCUGAACCAUGGGCUGUGCAGUCCUGGGCCAGUCUCUUGGAGGACGAGACCUGCCUUCCUGCUGGUUUGCACCAGGAGUGGGGUUGCUGAGCAGGAGGGCCCCUCGCCCACUCAGCAGGUGAGACCAAGCCUCUCCCCCUCCCAGAGCCAGGCGACAGAGGAGAGCUCCCUCCACCCUCCUCCCUCAGCAGUUCUCGGCAUGGACGCUGUUUGUUCUGCUCCUCUGCCCAACACGCUGCGCCCUCUCAGCACGCCACGACCCGCUCUUUUCUGGGUGCUAACGCGUGAGCCUCUUUGCCUGUGUUUAUUGGCCAUUUGAACAUUCUGUCAAGUAUCUUUGAGUCCGUUCCUUUUUCUGUUGGGUACUUUGAGCUUUGCGUAUAGACUUUAUAUCAAGGAACUUUGUUAAACUCGCUUAUUGUUAUGGAUAAUUUAUCUGAAUCCUAAUUAAUUUUUUAAUUUUCUAUUUUUCUUUUUACUUUUUAAAAAUUCUACGUACCUCUAUAUAUUCUCUAUCUACCCAAGUCACUGUGAACGCUGACGGUUUUAUUUCUUUCUCUGUGAUCCCACGUCUUGUGUUUCCGAUCGCGACCUUGCUGCACUGGCAGGACCUCCAGCGUAGGGGAGGAUAGAAAUAGUGAGCUCACAGAGGUCCUCGGCUGGCUGCCAGUCUCAAAGGGGAGGCUUUGGACAUUUCACCAUCAAAGAUGACCUGUUGUGCGUUUUCUCCAGUUACCCACAGACAAAUCGAGGCAGUUCCUGUCUGCGCCCCUACGUGAGUCUACUUCUCAUGCACAAAUGUCGAGUUUUGCAGAACGCUUUCCCUGUACCCACGGACACGAUCACAUUGUUUUACUUCUUUAUUCUGCUAAUGCGGUUAAGUUCACAAUGAUCGAUUUUUCAAAUAUUUGACAGCGGCAAUUUUGACAUUCAAGAAUGUCCCCCAAGGGCCUGAGUGUUGGGGGCUUGUCCCCUAGUCUGUGGUUCAGUGGGGAGGUGGUGGAACCCUGAAGGGUGGGGCCCCGUUGGAGGAAGUUGGUCACCAGGGGUGUGCCCUUGAAGGGAUGCUGGAAUCCAGUCCCUUCCUGCCUGUCUCUCUGCUUCCCAGCCUGUGAGGGAAACAGGCCUCCCCUGCCAUAUGUCACUGAGCUGCCACAGGCCCAAAGCAUCAGGAUCAGACAACCCUGGAAGCUCUGAAACCACAGCCAGAGUAAACCUUUCCUCUUCUGGACUUGAUUCUCUCAGGUAUUGUGUCACAGUGACGAAAAGCUGACUAAUCGCAGCCUUGCGCUCCUGGAGUAAACCCAGCCUUGUCAUGAGAUGCAGUCCUGCUCCUAUGUUGUUGGCUGUGAGAAUCUGUUAGGAUUCCUCUCAGGUUUCUCCUCUAUGUUCAUUCAUGAGCUUAGUCUGUAACCGUCUUCCCCCUGUAACGUCAGGUUUCUGUAUCAGGGAUGUGCUCUUAGGGACAGUUGAAAAACGCUUCUCUUUUUCUACCCAACAAAACAAUCUCUUCACUACUUGUUAGAUGUGCCAGUGAAGCCAUCCAAUUCCAGAGAUUGUUGGAGAGGGGACAGAGUUAAAUCCUGGAUCUCCUUAUUUUAACAGUUAAGGGACUAAUCUGGUUUUAUUUUUUUUAAUGUCAUUUUGAUAGGUUAUGUUUUUUAAGGAAUUUGUCCAUUAUUAUCUUAAUUUUUAAAUGUUUUAUAAUAAAGUUAACCAUAAUAUCCUCUCUA